rnacentral:rRNA from 1 species
AACGAACGCUGGCGGCAUGCCUAACACAUGCAAGUCGAACGAGACCUUCGGGUCUAGUGGCGCACGGGUGCGUAACGCGUGGGAAUCUACCCUCAGGUUCGGAAUAACUCAGAGAAAUUUGAGCUAAUACCGGAUGAUGACGUAAGUCCAAAGAUUUAUCGCCUGAGGAUGAGCCCGCGUAGGAUUAGGUAGUUGGUGAGGUAAAGGCUCACCAAGCCGACGAUCCUUAGCUGGUCUGAGAGGAUGAUCAGCCACACUGGGACUGAGACACGGCCCAGACUCCUACGGGAGGCAGCAGUGGGGAAUAUUGGACAAUGGGCGAAAGCCUGAUCCAGCAAUGCCGCGUGAGUGAUGAAGGCCUUAGGGUUGUAAAGCUCUUUUACCCGGGAUGAUAACGACAGUACCGGGAGAAUAAGCUCCGGCUAACUCCGUG